CCUUAAUUUCCUCAGGUGUAGAAUACUCAGGAGGAGUGGUGAUGUUCUCAGAAGCAGGUGCAGAACCAGUGGGUCAUGUGCAAAGUGGUAAUGUCAUCUAGCUGGGGUCUCUCUCCUCGCACCUCCUUGUCAAAAGAAGCUGGCCAAUUUUCCUUAAGGACUCCAUGAAGCCUUUCCCACAUAGUCCUUGGGGAUGGGUGACAUAGUAUAUGCUUGUGACAAGAGUCUUUAUGAGGGAGUGAGCCCAGUUUAUCCCUCACUGACUCUGUAUCUUUGGGACAUCUCAGUAGCACUGGGACCUGAGGGGCACAAUGUAAGACCCUUGUUCUCUGUUCUGUUCUCCUGCCCAAGCCACGGACCUGAGAAUCGGCACUUUCCCAGGCCCACCUGGGUCGCCACUCACCAAACAUCCAGACGUCACUGGCGGUUGUAAAGCGGCGAAAGUUGAUGGACUCGGGGGACAUCCAUUUGAUGGGGAGACGGGUCACGGAAGCUUUGUGUGGACAAAGAGGUUUACAGGGAUUAUUUACGGAUAUCAUUCUGUGUUAGAACUAGAAAGAACUUCAGAGACCAGAAAGCUCAAUGCCUGUGUCCAGAGGAGGAUACAGAGUCAUGUGAUCUGCUCAAAGGCAAGCAGGCCUCAGCCCUACCCUACAGUGUGACAUCUGGCAUCCUCUAGGAAGUGAUGAGAGUCAGAUGACAUUGUGAGGAGAGGAUUCUGAUGAAAACUAGUGUUCUUAAAAGAAGAGGACAAGACACUAGAGAUUGUGCUCUCUACCAUGUGACCACACAGCAAGGAGACCAACCUAAAAGCAAGCCUUCUCCAACCAGAAUCUGCAGUGACAGGGCUUGCCAACCUCAAGAACUCAGAGUAAUACAUGGCUGGCUUUGAGUCAUUCAGUCUAUUGUAUUGUUUGUGCCAAUGCAGCUGACCAAGAUCAAAACAGUACCAUGGUGCAAACUAAGUCAACAUUUGUCAUAACAACAAACGGCGUUCUUGAGCCAUCAUUGAUUAAAGGUGCACACCACCAUGUAGGCUUA